ensembl:lncRNA
CCAAGUUAAAGAUGUUUCUGAUUUGGAUGAACGAGAGAGCGAGAUAAAGUGAGACACACACACACACAGUAUCUAGAAGGUGGAGUGUGUUUUGACCAAUGAGCUACAGAAACACGCACAAACGCACAGUUUCCUUCUCGUAGUCAGGUCCGUUAGUCGGUUUUAGACUGAAACCCGGUGUAAAUUGCUCUGUGAGCUCCGUUUAGUGCUCGUGUUGCGGCAGCACUAUGGUCUCGAGUGUUCUGUGGAUCUCGGUUGCGACGCUGGCGUUUCUGCGCCUCGCGGAGACAGGUUCUGAGUAUGCGUUGCUGCAUGAAGGAGAAAAAUGUGGAGAAUACGACCAGGGCAGGUGCGAAUCCGGUCUCAUCUGCGUGCCUGACAAUCCCGAGCCCGAGUUAUUCAACGCAGUAGGAGUGUGCACCAAGGAAUCUGGGUGCCUUAAUACGUCGUGUCCUGGGACUCCCACUCUGGCUUGUCCGGCAGACUCCUUCAUUAGUGAGCCCCACACCGAACCCGGUCACUGCUGCCCUGUUGUGCCUGCUAUGUGCACCUGCGACUUCCAGACCUGCACUCCAAAACCCACAUACUGCCCUAACCGCGGACUUCCCCGACUCCUUGUGAAGGGAAACGGCCACCCGGGGACCUGCUGCGACCGCUACGAGUGUGUGAAAGAAGGAGAUUAAUUAGCAUGUGUAAUAUAAUACACACUUUUAUCUUAUUAUCCUUGUGAAACUAACCGUAACCUCACUAACCGUAACCUUAACCUCAGUAACCAAAAGGAAACAUUUCGGCUCUGGUAGAUUUAUUUUUCAUUUCAGGCAAACACCUUGCUGUUUCAUGUAAUGCUCAGAAUGCUUGAUGUGCAAAAAAAUCUGGAAUGUACUCAACAAUAAAAGAAAUAUUUACAGGAAGAAAUUGUCUCUCGUGUUUAUGAAGCGUUAACCUGAACAGUGUGAGAUUGAGAAGAGAAGGAAAGCCAGAUCAAACAUCUGGACGUAUCGGAC